AUUGAACGCUGGCGGCAGGCCUAACACAUGCAAGUCGAGCGGUAACAGAGGAAAGCUUGCUUUCCUGCUGACGAGCGGCGGACGGGUGAGUAAUGCUUGGGGAGCUGCCUGAUAGCGGGGGACAACCACUGGAAACGGUGGCUAAUACCGCAUAAUGUCUACGGACCAAAGCAGGGGAUCUUUCGGGACCUUGCGCUAUCAGAUGCACCCAAGUGAGAUUAGCUAGUUGGUAAGGUAAAGGCUUACCAAGGCGACGAUCUCUAGCUGGUUUGAGAGGAUGAUCAGCCACACUGGGACUGAGACACGGCCCAUACUCCUACGGGAGGCAGCAGUGGGGAAUAUUGCACAAUGGGGGAAACCCUGAUGCAGCCAUGCCGCGUGUGUGAAGAAGCCUUCGGGUUGUAAAGCACUUUCAGUUGUGAGGAAAGGGUAAUCGCUAAUAUCGGUUAUCUGUGACGUUAGCAACAGAAGAAGCACCGGCUAACUCCGUGC
rnacentral:rRNA from 1 species